rnacentral:rRNA from 1 species
UACGUAGGGUGCAAGCGUUGUCCGGAAUUAUUGGGCGUAAAGAGCUCGUAGGCGGUUUGUCGCGUCGAAUGUGAAAACCCGAGGCUCAACCUCGGGCCUGCAGUCGAUACGGGCAAACUAGAGUACUGCAGGGGAGACUGGAAUUCCUGGUGUAGCGGUGAAAUGCGCAGAUAUCAGGAGGAACACCGGUGGCGAAGGCGGGUCUCUGGGCAGUAACUGACGCUGAGGAGCGAAAGCGUGGGGAGCGAACAGG